UACAGGGGGUGCAAACGUUGCUCGGAAUUAUUGGGCGUAAAGCGCGCGUAGGCGGCUACUUAAGUCGGAUGUGAAAGCCCUUGGCUCAACUGAGGAAGUGCACCCGAAACUGAGUGGCUUGAGUACUAAAGAGGGUCGCGGAAUUCCCGGUGUAGAGGUGAAAUUCGUAGAUAUCGGGAGGAACACCGGUGGCGAAGGCGGCGAC
rnacentral:rRNA from 1 species